GAUGAACGCUGGCGGCGUGCUUAACACAUGCAAGUCGAACGGUGAAGGCGGAGCUUGCUCUGCUGGAUCAGUGGCGAACGGGUGAGUAACACGUGAGCAAUCUGCCCCUGACUCUGGGAUAAGCGCUGGAAACGGCGUCUAAUACUGGAUACGAGCUGCGAAGGCAUCUUCAGCAGCUGGAAAGAAUUUCGGUCAGGGAUGAGCUCGCGGCCUAUCAGCUUGUUGGUGAGGUAAUGGCUCACCAAGGCGUCGACGGGUAGCCGGCCUGAGAGGGUGACCGGCCACACUGGGACUGAGACACGGCCCAGACUCCUACGGGAGGCAGCAGUGGGGAAUAUUGCACAAUGGGCGAAAGCCUGAUGCAGCAACGCCGCGUGAGGGACGACGGCCUUCGGGUUGUAAACCUCUUUUAGCAGGGAAGAAGCGAAAGUGACGGGACCUGCAGAAAAAGCGCCGGCUAACUACGU
rnacentral:rRNA from 1 species